CCUACGGGUGGCAGCAGUGGGGAAUAUUGGACAAUGGGGGAAACCCUGAUCCAGUGACGCCGCGUGAGUGAAGAAGUAUUUCGGUACGUAAAGCUCUAUCAGCAGGAAAGAAAAUGACGGUACCUGACUAAUAAGCACCGGCUAACUACGUGCCAGCAGCCGCGGUAAUACGUAGGGGGCAAGCGUUAUCCGGAUUUACUGGGUGUAAAGGGAGCGUAGACGGGAGCGCAAGGCUGAAGUGAAAUGCCGGGGCCCAACCCUGGAACUGCUCUGGAAACUGUGAAGCUGGAGUGCAGGAGAGGUAAGUGGAAGUCCUGGUGUAGCGGUGAAAUGCGUAGAGAUCAGGAGGAACACCGGCGGCGAAGGCGACUUACUGGAAUAUAACGGACGUUGAGGCUCGAAGGCGUGGGGAGCAAACAGGAUUAGAUACCCUUGUAGUC
rnacentral:rRNA from 1 species